UAUAGUUGAGUACAAGUAAGUGACGUUGUUUGUCUAAAACUAUUGCUUCUAUUUAAGAUUAGGAAUCCUUUUAUGCAUAAUCUGUUCUUCAUUAGGGCACUUGACUGCCCUGGAUGAAAUGUGUCUAGGUGUGUUGUCCAAUUCAGUAAAUAUAUGCAAUAACUUGUUGUCAAUUUAUCCAAGCCCAGAGGGAGGAGAACCAAGCCUGGAGGGGAAGCAAUGCACAAGCAGCUUCGGAUGACUGCAGCUCACUUCACGAGCAGGUGAAGCAAGUUGGGACAAUGAUCAAGACGUUUGCUCGCACCGUGGCAAUCAGAUACGACUUGCAAACCCCUGUGUUUGUUUGAUUAAUUCCCCCUGGGGCCACCUAUACAUGUUGUAUACCAAGAUGUAAAUAUCAUAGUUUAGUAGUUGGGGGACCAGGACUGACUAUGUUCUUUUAUUUUGGGAAUGCCUUUAGGUGCAGAUCAGACCCUAAUGCUGUGACGUCUUGGAGAGUUUGGCGAUGUUGUGCGUAGCAUGGAAAACAAAAUGGACACAUUGCUGCACCAUUUCAGUGCCAAUGUUUCUGUUGGAGAGUUAUCCCUGCCCGGUGGUCUUUUACUCCCCAUAAACACCCAGGAAGAUUUUGCGUUGCUUGACAGCAGCUUGAGGCAGGAUAGCGAGCUCCAGGAACGAUUUCUCCGGUUUUUGGCCAUCAAAUGUGGGAAGGACCUGAAGACAACAGUGGGGAGAAUGCUUCAGAGUAUCUUUUAAUUUCUACAACUUGGACUGGUGUAGGGGCUAAAGCUUGUUUUAAAGACCUGUUCCUGAAGACCAUUGUUCAAAGGGCCAUACGGAAGAAUCCGGCAACCCAGGAUGCCACUGAUGAGGCGGUCCAGGUUAAUGUAAUGCGUUACCUGAAAGGAGCAUCUGACCGCGAAGGUGGAAAAAGGCGCCGCACAACAGAGAGGGACCCACAGCCGACUCCUUAAACCUAGGCUUGUCUAGACUACUGACACCCCAGCAUGUUCUGUGUGUGUACGUAUAUAUUUUAUGUGUGUGUAUAUAUAUAUAUAUAUCUUUUUUGUUUUCUUUUUUAUUUAUAUUUCAGUGUGCUGACACAUCUUGUUUCAAUACUGUACUGAAAUGUGGAAU